CCGGUGGAGCCGCCGCGCAGCGGGAGCUGAUACGGGAAUUGUUUUCCCGGGCGGCGAAAGGUCUGGCUACUGAGGCCGUGCAGGAAGCAGACAGCGCAUCCGCGGCAGCCGCCGAACCGUGGUUCGCCGAGUGCUCGGAGGUGCCCGUUGUGUGGCACAAAGGAGACCCGCACAAACUUUCCAGACAGCGCUGAUUAUUCACUGAAGAGUGUUGAGAUCUGAAAAGUGCUGCGAGUCAUUAAUUUGAGACCACAGAUCAUCAGGUUUGGGAGGAGAGUUUCCACCACUCUGUCCUUGAAAUAAACCGUCAGACUGCCUCUCUCUUCUAGCAGAUCUUAUUAAUUAGUCCUGCCCAAAACAUCAGAAACUUAGGACAUGGAACAGACCUGUGCAACCAGUUUUCUGCUGCUCAACGUCUCCUAGGAUUGUCUGCCCGCCUAAACAAGGAGCAUGAAGUCCUAAAAGACAUGACAAAUCACCCAUCCCUUCUCCAGACCCACUGAGCAGAUGUCAAUGGCAGUGAUGGGGAAUACCCAUGAAUUUAAGGGCAAAAAAAAGAACUGAGUUGACUUCUCAUGUGAUUCCAAGUGGGAGGAUCAAAGCAUAUGCCCCAACUACAAACUAGCUCCAUCUUAUUGGAAAAUGGACCUGAAAUGAACAUUUGCCACAUGUUCUGGGCUUGCACCGGGUUUGGAAGGCUUGCUGUAAGUUAAAUUGGAAAAAUAAAGUCUAGAUAGCUGAGAAAGGAA